rnacentral:rRNA from 1 species
GGGUUGUGAGGUUAAGCGACUAAGCGUACACGGUGGAUGCCCUGGCAGUCAGAGGCGAUGAAGGACGUGCUAAUCUGCGAUAAGCGUCGGUAAGGUGAUAUGAACCGUUAUAACCGGCGAUUUCCGAAUGGGGAAACCCAGUGUGUUUCGACACACUAUCAUUAACUGAAUCCAUAGGUUAAUGAGGCGAACCGGGGGAACUGAAACAUCUAAGUACCCCGAGGAAAAGAAAUCAACCGAGAUUCCCCCAGUAGCGGCGAGCGAACGGGGAGCAGCCCAGAGCCUGAAUCAGUGUGUGUGUUAGUGGAAGCGUCUGGAAAGGCGCGCGAUACAGGGUGACAGCCCCGUACACAAAAAUGCACAUGCUGUGAGCUCGAUGAGUAGGGCGGGACACGUGGUAUCCUGUCUGAAUAUGGGGGGACCAUCCUCCAAGGCUAAAUACUCCUGACUGACCGAUAGUGAACCAGUACCGUGAGGGAAAGGCGAAAAGAACCCCGGCGAGGGGAGUGAAAAAGAACCUGAAACCGUGUACGUACAAGCAGUGGGAGCACGCUUCGGCGUGUGACUGCGUACCUUUUGUAUAAUGGGUCAGCGACUUAUAUUCUGUAGCAAGGUUAACCGAAUAGGGGAGCCGAAGGGAAACCGAGUCUUAACUGGGCGUUAAGUUGCAGGGUAUAGACCCGAAACCCGGUGAUCUAGCCAUGGGCAGGUUGAAGGUUGGGUAACACUAACUGGAGGACCGAACCGACUAAUGUUGAAAAAUUAGCGGAUGACUUGUGGCUGGGGGUGAAAGGCCAAUCAAACCGGGAGAUAGCUGGUUCUCCCCGAAAGCUAUUUAGGUAGCGCCUCGUGAAUUCAUCUCCGGGGGUAGAGCACUGUUUCGGCAAGGGGGUCAUCCCGACUUACCAACCCGAUGCAAACUGCGAAUACCGGAGAAUGUUAUCACGGGAGACACACGGCGGGUGCUAACGUCCGUCGUGAAGAGGGAAACAACCCAGACCGCCAGCUAAGGUCCCAAAGUCAUGGUUAAGUGGGAAACGAUGUGGGAAGGCCCAGACAGCCAGGAUGUUGGCUUAGAAGCAGCCAUCAUUUAAAGAAAGCGUAAUAGCUCACUGGUCGAGUCGGCCUGCGCGGAAGAUGUAACGGGGCUAAACCAUGCACCGAAGCUGCGGCAGCGACGCUUAUGCGUUGUUGGGUAGGGGAGCGUUCUGUAAGCCUGUGAAGGUGUGCUGUGAGGCAUGCUGGAGGUAUCAGAAGUGCGAAUGCUGACAUAAGUAACGAUAAAGCGGGUGAAAAGCCCGCUCGCCGGAAGACCAAGGGUUCCUGUCCAACGUUAAUCGGGGCAGGGUGAGUCGACCCCUAAGGCGAGGCCGAAAGGCGUAGUCGAUGGGAAACAGGUUAAUAUUCCUGUACUUGGUGUUACUGCGAAGGGGGGACGGAGAAGGCUAUGUUGGCCGGGCGACGGUUGUCCCGGUUUAAGCGUGUAGGCUGGUUUUCCAGGCAAAUCCGGAAAAUCAAGGCUGAGGCGUGAUGACGAGGCACUACGGUGCUGAAGCAACAAAUGCCCUGCUUCCAGGAAAAGCCUCUAAGCAUCAGGUAACAUCAAAUCGUACCCCAAACCGACACAGGUGGUCAGGUAGAGAAUACCAAGGCGCUUGAGAGAACUCGGGUGAAGGAACUAGGCAAAAUGGUGCCGUAACUUCGGGAGAAGGCACGCUGAUAUGUAGGUGAGGUCCCUCGCGGAUGGAGCUGAAAUCAGUCGAAGAUACCAGCUGGCUGCAACUGUUUAUUAAAAACACAGCACUGUGCAAACACGAAAGUGGACGUAUACGGUGUGACGCCUGCCCGGUGCCGGAAGGUUAAUUGAUGGGGUUAGCGGUAACGCGAAGCUCUUGAUCGAAGCCCCGGUAAACGGCGGCCGUAACUAUAACGGUCCUAAGGUAGCGAAAUUCCUUGUCGGGUAAGUUCCGACCUGCACGAAUGGCGUAAUGAUGGCCAGGCUGUCUCCACCCGAGACUCAGUGAAAUUGAACUCGCUGUGAAGAUGCAGUGUACCCGCGGCAAGACGGAAAGACCCCGUGAACCUUUACUAUAGCUUGACACUGAACAUUGAGCCUUGAUGUGUAGGAUAGGUGGGAGGCUUUGAAGUGUGGACGCCAGUCUGCAUGGAGCCGACCUUGAAAUACCACCCUUUAAUGUUUGAUGUUCUAACGUUGACCCGUAAUCCGGGUUGCGGACAGUGUCUGGUGGGUAGUUUGACUGGGGCGGUCUCCUCCUAAAGAGUAACGGAGGAGCACGAAGGUUGGCUAAUCCUGGUCGGACAUCAGGAGGUUAGUGCAAUGGCAUAAGCCAGCUUGACUGCGAGCGUGACGGCGCGAGCAGGUGCGAAAGCAGGUCAUAGUGAUCCGGUGGUUCUGAAUGGAAGGGCCAUCGCUCAACGGAUAAAAGGUACUCCGGGGAUAACAGGCUGAUACCGCCCAAGAGUUCAUAUCGACGGCGGUGUUUGGCACCUCGAUGUCGGCUCAUCACAUCCUGGGGCUGAAGUAGGUCCCAAGGGUAUGGCUGUUCGCCAUUUAAAGUGGUACGCGAGCUGGGUUUAGAACGUCGUGAGACAGUUCGGUCCCUAUCUGCCGUGGGCGCUGGAGAACUGAGGGGGGCUGCUCCUAGUACGAGAGGACCGGAGUGGACGCAUCACUGGUGUUCGGGUUGUCAUGCCAAUGGCACUGCCCGGUAGCUAAAUGCGGAAGAGAUAAGUGCUGAAAGCAUCUAAGCACGAAACUUGCCCGAGAUGAGUUCUCCCUGACUCCUUGAGAGUCCUGAAGGAACGUUGAAGACGACGACGUUGAUAGGCCGGGUGUGUAAGCGCAGCGAUGCGUUGAGCUAACCGGUACUAAUGAACCGUGAGGCUUAACCUUACAACGCCGAAG